rnacentral:rRNA from 1 species
GACGAACGCUGGCGGCGUGCUUAACACAUGCAAGUCGAGCGGAAAGGCCCUGCUUUUGUCGGGUGCUCGAGUGGCGAACGGGUGAGUAACACGUGAGUAACCUGCCCUUGAUUUUGGGAUAAUGUCAUGAAACUGGGGCUAAUACCAGAUAGGAGCUCCUGCUGUAUGGAGGGGGUUGGACAGUUCCGGCGGUGGGGGAUGUACUCGCGGCUUAUCAGCUUGUUGUUGGGGUAGUGGCUUACCACGGCUUUGACGGUUAGCCGACCUGAGAGGAUGACCGGCAAAAUUGGGGCCGAGAGAUGCCCCAGACUCCAACGGGCGGCAGCAGUGGGGAAUAUUGCCCAAUGGGCGGAAGCCUGAGGCAGGCCCGCCGCGUGAGGGAUGACGGUCAUCGGGUUGCAAAGGGCUAGCGCCUGUGCCGAGGUCUUAGUGACGGUAAUGGGUAAAGAAUCACCGGCUACCUACGUG